UGAGGAAUAUUGGUCAAUGGUCGAGAGACUGAACCAGCCAAGUCGCGUGAAGGAUGACUGCCCUAUGGGUUGUAAACUUCUUUUACAAGGGAAUAAAAUGAGAUACGUGUAUUUUAUUGCAUGUACCUUGUGAAUAAGCAUCGGCUAACUCCGUGCCAGCAGCCGCGGUAAUACGGAGGAUGCGAGCGUUAUCCGGAUUUAUUGGGUUUAAAGGGUGCGUAGGUGGGCUGUUAAGUCAGCGGUGAAAGUUUGUCGCUUAACGAUAAAAUUGCCGUUGAAACUGGUAGUCUUGAGUAUAGAUGAAGUAGGCGGAAUGCGUGGUGUAGCGGUGAAAUGCAUAGAGAUCACGCAGAACUCCGAUUGCGAAGGCAGCUUACUAAGGUAUAACUGACACUGAAGCACGAAAGCGUGGGUAUCAAACAGG
rnacentral:rRNA from 1 species